AACGAACGCUGGCGGCAGGCUUAACACAUGCAAGUCGAGCGCGGUCUUUCGGGACUGAGCGGCGGACGGGUGAGUAACGCGUGGGAACGUGCCCCUUUCUUCGGAAUAGCCUCGGGAAACUGGGAGUAAUGCCGAAUACGCCGGGCCAUGGAGACAUGGUUCGGGAAAGAUUUAUCGGAGAGGGAUCGGCCCGCGUUGGAUUAGGUAGUUGGUGGGGUAACGGCCUACCAAGCCGACGAUCCAUAGCUGGUUUGAGAGGAUGACCAGCCACACUGGGACUGAGACACGGCCCAGACUCCUACGGGUGGCAG
rnacentral:rRNA from 1 species